AACAGAUGGUUAUGUGUCUGUGAUUCACUGUCACAGUUCAGGUUAGAGCAGCCUGAAGGAUGGUUUAAUAUCUGUGCACAGGGUACAAUGACUAAGGGAUCGUAAGUAGCAGGGAAGACAGCAGGAAAACAGCAUGUUUGAAUGAUUUCCCGUUUUCACUUUCAAUGGGACUUCAGAGGCAAUUCCAAGAGAGACCUAAGCACUGCAAUGAUUUUGAAGCCAUAUGAAGUGAAAAAGCAUACUCAACACCUUUAGAUAUCUUCCUUGAGACCGCAGAGUGACUGUGAAAACUGACCAACAGCAGCAGUUUUCUAAAUAUCACUGGUCUUCUGACAAGUAAGUUCUUCAUUCUGAGUUUUGUUUUCUUCUCUGUAUUCCUGACUAGUAUUUUAUCCUUGUAUUUAUUAUACAGACAACCAUA
rnacentral:lncRNA from 1 species